rnacentral:rRNA from 1 species
CCUACGGGUGGCAGCAGUGAGGAAUAUUGGUCAAUGGGCGCGAGCCUGAACCAGCCAAGUAGCGUGAAGGAUGACUGCCCUACGGGUUGUAAACUUCUUUUAUAAAGGAAUAAAGUGAGGCACGUGUGCAUUUUUGUAUGUACUUUAUGAAUAAGGAUCGGCUAACUCCGUGCCAGCAGCCGCGGUAAUACGGAGGAUCCGAGCGUUAUCCGGAUUUAUUGGGUUUAAAGGGAGCGUAGAUGGGUUGUUAAGUCAGUUGUGAAAGUGUGCGGCUCAACCGUAAAAUUGCAAUUGAUACUGGCAGCCUUGAGUGCAGGUGAGGUAGGCGGAAUUCGUGGUGUAGCGGUGAAAGGCUUAGAUAUCACGAAGAACACCGAUUGCGAAGGCAGCCUACUAAACUGCCACUGACAUUGAUGCUCGAAAGUGUGGGUAUCAAACAGGAUUAGAUACCCUUGUAGUC